rnacentral:rRNA from 1 species
GCUGCUAUGGCCAUAAUGGCCUAUUGCUGCUAUGGCCUAUUGCUGCUAUGGUCUAUUGUCGCUAAUGGAGGGAGCUCAAGCAUUAGGAUCUGAAGUUGAGCACAUCCGCUAGGACCCGAAAGAUAGCGAACUUUUCCUGGGCCGAAGGAAGCCAGGGGAAACCUUGGUGGACGUUCGAAUCAAUGCUGACGUGCAAAUCGCUUGUCAGAUCCAGGUAAAGGGGCGAAAGACUAAUCGAACUAUCUAGUAGCUGGUUCCCCCCGAAGUUUCUCUCAGGAUAGCUGGGAACCUUGAGUUGCGCCAGGUAAAGCAAAUGAUCAGAAGCAUUGGGAUGUUUUUUAUCUCAACUUAUUCUCAAACUCUAAAUGGGCGCGGAGCAUAGCUUUCUUUCAUGAAGCUAUGACUUGAAUCUCGGUUCCCAUGUGGGCCAUUUUUGGUAAGCAGAAUUGGCGACGCGGGAUGAACCGAUAGUAGCUCUAAGGAACCUAAGCCGUCGGCUUAGACAGAACCCAUUGAAGGAUGUUGGUGUAGGAAGACAGCAGGGCCGUGGCCAUGGAAGUAGGAAUCGGCCAAGGAGUGUGUAACAACUCACCUGCCGACUGCACCAGCUCCCAAAAUGGACGAUGCUUAAGCCGCGCUCCGAUGGGCUACCGCCGCAGCCGUAGACACAAUCGGCCGGCGCGUAGGGGGGCGUGGGGCACGGGCAGAAGUGUGUGAGGUGACUCCACAUGGACCGUGCACCCAGUGCAGAUCUUGGUUGUAGUAGCGAUUAUUCUGUGGAGGACACAGAAGAUUGAAGCGGAGUCGGUUUCCAUGUGAACAGUACUUGGACAUGGGUUAGUCGGUCCUAACCCCCGAGGAAAUCCUCCUUGGAAAGGCCUCGCGACAAGGAGUAGUCGUUAACUCUCUCUCCGGGGAGUUGAUGGUUACUCCGUGUUCGUAGGCAUCGGGGGACAGGGAACUCGGUCCAACAUUCCGAGACCCACCUGUGGGGAUUAGAGGCUGCAAAGCAGUUGACAACGGAAGGCCGCAGGGUAGUCAAGCCCGAGGAGAGCUUUCUUUUCUCUUUGACAUUGCUGACGCCUCGAAUAACAUUCCAGUUGGAGAAAGGCGUCGGAACACAUAGAGAAAGCGGUGCACUCUCAGCGCCGUUCGGAGCCUUGAUUAUCCUCAUGGAAGACCUUCCUGAGAUCUCAUCCCUCACGGGCGGACCGUACCGAUAACCGCAUCCGGACUCCGAGGUGAAUAGCCUCUGGUCCAUGGAGCAAUGUGACCAAGGGAAGUCGGCAAAAUAGACGCGUAACUUCGGGAGAAGCGUUGGCUCCAAGGGCUGGAUGUCAGAAGCCAGCAACACUGACGGUUCUGGGGGCUGUGGAAUAGAUGAGUUCUCGGGUCCUCGGAUCUGAGAACAAGUCGGUUCCACGGCACCCCCUGAUGGGUUGUUGGAUUUUUGGCAUUGCGAACAGCCAACUUGGAACUGUCGCCGACAAGGGGAAUCCAACUGUUUAAUUGAAACAUAGCAUUGAGACUCGCACGUUGAGGCAGUCGUUGACUCAAGGUGCGUCCUGCCCAGUGCUCUGAAUGUUAAUGCAAAGAGAUUUUAUCAAGCUCGGGUAAACGGCGGGAGUAACUAUGACUCUCUUAAGGUAGCCAAAUGCCUCGUCUUCUAACUAAAGACGCGCAUGAAUGGAUUAAUGAGAUUCCCACUGUCCCUGGUUACUAUCCAGCGAACCAACAGUCAAGGGAACGGGCUUGAAGUCUUCAGCGGGGAAAGAAGACCCUGUUGAGUUUGACUCUAAUCUGGACUUGUGCAGUGACAUUCGAGGUGUAGGAUAGGUGGGAGAUGCGCAAGCAUCAACGGUGAAAUACCACUACUCGGAUUGUUGCUUUGCUCAUCGCAUCGAAUAGGAACGGCAGUCGCCCAGCUUCUGCUGGGUUGAGGAUCUCCCCUCGGGGAGAUCCGUGGCUUUUCCGAUUCGAGCGGUAACCACAGAUCUUUCUGUGGGACCUAUCGCUGCGAGACAUUGGCCAGAUGGGGAGUUUGGCUGGGGCGGCAUAUCUGUUAAACUCUAACGCAGGUGUCCUAAGGCACACUCAGUGAGAACAGAAAUCUUACGUGGCGGAUAAGGCCAAAAGUGUGCUUGAGCUCUCGAUCUCCAGUACUGAUCCAGACUGUGAAAGCAAGGCCUAACGAUCCUUUGUACUCAUCAUGUUCAGAGUACGAAGUCAGAGGUGACAGAAAAAUUACCACAGGGAUAACUGGCUUGUGGCAGCCAAGAGUCCAUAUCGACGCUGCUUUUUGAUCCUUCGAUGUCGGCUCUUCCUAUCCUUACCCUGCAGAAGAGGUAAAGGGUUGGAUUGUUCACCCAUCAAAAGGGAACGUGAGCUGGGUUUAGACCGUCGUGAGACAGGUUGGUUUUACCCUACUGAAGAGUAUAAGGCGUGUUGAAGGUAAUCUGGGGUAGUACGAGAGGAACUCCCAUUUCGUGCUGCUGGUUUCUGCUCCUGGCUGACCAACCAGUGGAGCGAAGCUACGCACGAUGAUGUAUGGCUGAAAGCCUCUUAAGCCAGAACUCAGUCCAGUGACACGCCCAUGCCUUACGGCGUGGCGAGGACCGAAUUCUGACUCUGGGACGAACUCUCGUAGUAAGUCGCAUGGCCAAGAGCGCGACGAACCUCGAAAAGCAGGUUCUGUUGCGCCUUGGUAAUAAAAACAUCCAUAGUCAUGGUCCCGCUUGU